CCCUUAGAUGUUCUGGGCCGCACGCGCGCUACACUGAUGCAUUCAACGAGUUUCUUCCUGGUCCGAGAGGAAUGGGUAACCUUUUGAAAGUGCAUCGUGAUAGGGAUAGACUAUUGCAAUUAUUGGUCUUCAACGAGGAAUUCCUAGUAGACGUAGUUCAUCAGACUGCAUCGAUUACGUCCCUGCCCUUUGUACACACCGCCGGUCGCUCCUACCGAUUGAAUGCUCAGGUGAGCCAUUCGGACUUUCAUCAUGCUGGUUUCCAGUUUUGAUGAAGGAAAGUCUUGCGAACCUUAUCAUUUAGAGGAAGGAGAAGUCGUAACA
rnacentral:rRNA from 1 species